UACGUAGGGAGCGAGCGUUGUUCGGAUUUACUGGGCGUAAAGGGUUUGUAGGUGGCCAACUAAGUCAGACGUGAAAUCCCUCAGCUUAACUGGGGAACUGCGUCUGAUACUGGUUGGCUUGAGUGCAGGAGAGGAAUGCGGAAUUCCAGGUGUAGCGGUGAAAUGCGUAGAUAUCUGGAGGAACACCGGUGGCGAAGGCGGCAUUCUGGACUGCAACUGACACUGAAGAACGAAAGCCAGGGGAGCAAACGGG
rnacentral:rRNA from 1 species